rnacentral:piRNA from 1 species
UCAGGUACUAUAUUGAGAAAGUGGG